rnacentral:rRNA from 1 species
UACGAAGGGUGCAAGCGUUACUCGGAACUACUGGGCGUAAAGCGUGCGUAGGCGGUUUGUUAAGUCCGUUGUGAAAGCCCUGGGCUCAACCUGGGAAUUGCAGUGGAUACUGGCGAGCUAGAGUGCGGUAGAGGAUGGUGGAAUUCCCGGUGUAGCGGUGAAAUGCGUAGAGAUCGGGAGGAACACCCGUGGCGAAGGCGGCCAUCUGGACCAGCACUGACGCUGAGGCACGAAAGCGUGGGGAGCAACAGG